CCAGCUUUUCCGGCCCGUUUCGGCCGCCGUAGCGGAGCCGCGAUCCGCCGCUGGGCGGAGGGCUCUCCCUGGCCAUGGCGGGCGAGCUGGAGGGCUGCAAGUCCCUGAGCGGGCUGCUGAGCGGCCUGGCGCAGAGCGCCUUCCACGGCCACGCGGGUAUCACCGAGGAGCUGCUGCACAGCCAGCUCUACCCGGAAGUGCCCCUGGAGGAGUUCCGCCCCUUCCUGGCGAAGAUGAGGGGGAUUCUUAAGUCUAUUGCAUCUGCUGACAUGGAUUUCAACCAGUUAGAGGCCUUCUUGACUGCUCAGACCAAAAAGCAAGGUGGCAUCACCUGUGAACAAGCUGCGGUCAUUUCCAAGUUUUGGAAGAGCCAUAAGUCAAGAAUCCGAGAGAGCCUCCUGAACCAGAGCCGCUGGGACAACGGACUGCGGGGCCUGAGCUGGAGAGUCGAUGGCAAGUCACAGUCAAGGCACUCGGCUCAAAUACACACCCCUGCUGCCAUUGUAGAGCUGGAAUUUGGAAAAAGUGGACAGAUGUAAUGGGACCUGCUGCUUUACUUCUGCCCCCUUGACUUGGGUGAUGGCCACUCUUGGUUGCCAACUGGACAUCCUAGGGAAAGGAACCCUCCAUUGAAGAGCUGCAUCUGUCAAGGUCAAGAAUUGGCCUAUACAAACAGAACUACACAAGGUGUGGUAUCUGCAGCAACAUUUUGUGUGGUAUCUGCAGCAACAUUUUGUGUGUCGCUUGUGUGUGUUGCUUUGCCACUGCACUAGUCCCAGGCAUCUCCACCGCUCCUUAGAUACAGACGUGACUAAUAUUUCCAGCAGCCACAUUGUAUGUAUUGUGUCCCUAGGCAGUUGUUCUUGCAUUGAUGACAUUGACAUGUCUCUUCUUUGUCUGCACCACUGCAAACAUUCCAGAAAAACAUCUGUACUUCUGUGUGUAUUCUUAUAUGCUGAUGCUUUUGUUCUUGUUAGCCCCCAAAGCAAAAGUUUAUUGCAAAGAGUAUGCAUAUUUUAUCUGGGGGCUUUGGAGUAAAUACAGGACCUUGCUCACACAGAACAUGAGCUCUACCCCAGGCUAUACUCCCAACCCUGUAUUUUAAUUUUUAAUUAGCAAUUACUGAAUCACUUUUCAGAAAGUUGUAGCCAUUCCCUUUUACUAACAAUGCGUGGUGCUUCUUUGCCUACAUCCUUGCCAUCCCUGGAUAUUAACAGUCUUUAAUUUUCCUCAACCUGAUUUUAAAAAGGAUUUCUAUUAUUAUUUUGCUCUGUGUUCUUUUGUCUGUAAUGUUGAGUGUAGCUGGAGUUAUCUCCAGUCCUGCCCAGCCCCACGGACCCCACAACCGCUUAUAAAAUAAUCGCUCAGAAGCUUAUAUUAAUUAAACUGCUUGGCCAUUAGCUCAGGCCUACCACUGACUAGCUCUUACACUUAAACUCAGCCCAUUUUUGUUAAUCUAUAUGUCGCCAUGUGUUCCAUGGCUUUACCUGUGUGCCAUUACAUGCUGCUCCCUGGACAUCAGGCUGGCGUCUCCUCACUCAGCCUUCCUGUUUCCAGAAUUCUUUUCUCUGAUUGUCCUGCCUAUACUUCCUGCCUGGCUACUGGCCAAUCAGCAUUUUAUUUAUACAGAGUGAUAUCCACAGCAGUUGAGUAUGUUGUCAUAUGUCUAGCAUCUAUUGACAUGUAUUCUUAUCAGUUGUCUAUGACAUCUUGUACAUGUUACUUUUUAUUGAAUAGUUUAGGAUUUUUCGUCAACUUACAGCUUUUUAUUAGAGAAAUUUUAAGCCUAGGUAUUGCCAUUUAUUACCAUUUAAACUUUGUUAGUGAUGCUUUUUUUCCUUUGGGAGGAUUUUUAUUUUGUGUGUUUAAUGUGUCAGUCUUGUUAUGCAUUUAUUUUAGGUUUCCUACUUCUAACAUGUUAGAGCCUCUCUAAAAAUAUCCUAUUGUUGUGGAAUAUUAGUGAAGAUGUGUUAUAUUUGUUUAUGCUGUGGAAUACUUGUUUAAUGAUGCAAAGACAUGUUGCAUUCUUUAUGGUUUUUUUUUUUUUUUUUUUGCUUAACUCUGUGAAGCUGUGUUACUGUGCCUGUCUAAAACACCUGAUGGUCUAAUAAAGAGCUGAAUGGUCGGUCAAUAGCAAGGCAGGAGAAAGGAUAGGCAGGGCAGGCAGACAGAGAGAAUAAAGAGAAGGAGAAAUCUGGGAAGAGGAGGUCGGGGAGUGAGGAGAACAUCAGGGGCCAGCCACUCAGCUACACAGCCAGCCACAGAAUGAAAAGUAAUGAAAGGUAUCUAGAGUAGAGAAAAAUAAAAGCCAGAGGCAAAAGGUAGACAGGAUAAUUUAAGUUAAGAAAAGCUGACUAGAAACAAGCCAAGUUAAGGCCAAGCGUUCAUAAGAAAGAAUAGUCUCUAUGUAUUUAUUUGGGAGCUUGGGAACUGGGUGAUGGGUCCCUAAAGAGAAAAGAGAGAAAAAACAAAAACAAAAAAAACCAAUGACAACCAACUACAUCCUACCUACUCUCAGUUUUGUUUUGUUUUUUCCCUCUUUGGGUUGUUGAUGUUGUUUUGUAUUAACACUGAAUUUGUAACCUAAUUGAAAUGUAUUUGUAUGUGGUAAAAAUCAGGAUCGAAUUGCUCUUUAUUUUAUUCUUAUUAUUUCUUUACUUUGUUGGGGUCCAUGCCCCUCACACAUGUGGAGGUCAGAGGAUGACUUGCAGGAGUCAGUUCUUCACUUCUACCUGUGGAUCUCAUGGAUCACACUCAGGCUGUCCGGCUUGUCAGCCAGCGCCUUACCUGGUGGACAUCUCUAUUGCUCUGACUCUCCUUUCCUGGAAUCUGAAUUUCUGUGUCUGGAAUUUGAUGAGGUUAAAGUCAAGCAAGUCCUGAAGAGGCUGUCAGAGGUAGAAGACAGCAUCAGCACGCUGAUGCAAGCAGCCUGACUGA